AAAGCAUACUGGUGGAUUAAGGUAGAAAAGAGAGAAUGGCUCCCAAGCACAAAGUAUAAAACUGUAACCAGAAUGAAUUUACUGGCACAUUCAGUGAAAGAAUGUGUCAAUUAAGGACAAGGUUGCCAAACAGUGGAAACAACAACAACAAAAAAGAAGUCUUUAAGACAAAACAGGUGUGCCCAUCCAGCACUGACUAGGACUUUAUCUUGCUUUGAAGUGCUUGAAGAUAUUAUGGGAAUAGGCAUUCAAAUUAUAUUAGAGACUCCUUUUGUUUGGAGGCCAAAUUGAUCAGCCAACCUCCUUAUUAUUAGACAUCCAUGUGGCUUGCCUAGAGGGAGAAAAUGUGAUAGGUCAAAGCAAACACAGGGAGGUAAGCUUGAUGGGCAUACUUAUCAAUGUAAAUUUAUAAAUUGCUGUUUUAGUUUCAUCGUUUUUCAGUCUCUUUGAGGCUUGCUAAAAUUGAUAUCCAUGAGUUCUAUCAAUUCUGGGACAGAGAACAAAUUGUGUUCUGUAAGGAUGGAGGGACAGCGAGGAAUUUGCCAAGGUAAGUGGCACCUUGUGUAUGGCACCUGGCCUUCCGCAGGUGAUACACUUUCUCAUUUAUAGUCUCUGAAUGUCUGUACAUUGAGAUGUUAAUUAUGCAUCCAUGCGGCAAGUAGAAAAGCAUUUUUGGUAUAAUUUUAGUGAAAAAGCUAAAGCAUAACAUUUUGUCUAUUAUGAAAGCAAUAAUUUCAACUACGCAUGAAUAUGGGCACAAUAAUAAGGAAACAAGGGAAAAGAAAUAGUGAUUGAGUUAGUGAUGGGCAUGCCAAUCAUAUUUCUUUUUCUUUACUGCCAUUUUGUUUGUUUACUUCAUAAAAAUCAGAAGAAUAAAGGCAAAUUCAGUGUUAUAUGGAUAUAAAAUUUUAUAAUAAUGAUAUUUAAUAAUAUAAAUUAAUACAAAUAAUAGCAUAUUUGUAAUAAUAAUUGAAUGAUAAAAUAGACAUUAAGCAAUAGUAAUUUUGGAAGUAUUUCAUCUCUAAUUGGCCCAUGAAUCUGUUAUGGCUAGUACAUGGUAGCUGAGAAAACUCAUUUAAAAUGAAGAUGCAAUAGCCACAUAACUAUAUAUCUCAUGCCCAAAAGAGUAUUUUCUGGACCCGUGGCUUUCCAAUUCUUGGACAAGUGAAAUCGUAUUGAGCAUUGAGUCAUCUUCUAAACAUAUUGAAGACUUCAAAUAAUCUCUGUUAAGUUACUUUGUAAUAAAUCAACAAAUACAAUGGCCAUCUAUGUUUUCAAUUUUCUUUCUAACAAGUCUUAAAUAUACCAACCUCCCACCUCCAUUCUCAAAUACAUGCACGUCCUUGGUUGUCUUUCCUUUACCCCUACUUUUUUGGGAAUACAUGUAAAGAAAACAAAAAGAAAGAAAAAUAUAAACCUGUUGUAAAACACAAAUAGGUAUCAAAGGAAGAGCUGAGUUUAAAAAUACAGAGAUUGCUACCGAUAAAAUGCAUAAUUUUGGAUACCAGUGGUUUCACCUACCAAGUUGAUGGAAAAAAAAUGCAUUUUGCAAUAAGUUAAGGAAAUACAUUUGAGGAGCCUUAUACAAAAACCGUUUCCACUGUCUCUAAACAGUUUUUAAAUGAUUCAUGUUAAAAUACUUCACAUAUGCUCUGACUCAUAUAGAUAGUCUUGAGCUAACAUUCUUUUAUCAGCUGGAUGUUAAUGCAAAGUUAGAUUAUAUUAACUUUUAUUUUAAGCAUCACAUUAUAUUUUAGUUCUUUGUGAGCCUGGAAUCCACUAAAAUCUGCCAAUCUUUGUCACAUAAUCGUUAUCCUAUAACUCUGAGAUUGAAUUUUUGAACCUAAGAAUGGAACUUUUUAUUAAUGACUGCCAAGUUUUAUCUCAUUUACUUCACUUCUUUAUUCUAGUCAGUUGAGGCAAUCAUUUUGAAUCUUGGCUGUCAUUGGUCAUAUUAUUUACUGCAGGAAUUAUAAAACUUUCUCUGUAAAAAGCUAGUAAAUAUGUUAGGCUUUGUGGGCUAUGGAUCUUUUUUAUAUAGUAUUCCUUUUCUUUUAUUAAAUAAAAUACAAACAAUUCUUUUAGUUGUAAAAACCAUUCUUAGCUCAAGGGCCAUACAAUGACAAGCCUCAGACCAGAUCUGGCCCACAGGUUGUAAUUUGCCAACCUCUGGUGAACUGUAUUAGUUAUCUGUUGCUGUGUAACAAAUAGCCCUACCAUUUAGUGGCUUAAAAUACAAAAUAUUUUAUCUAAAUUGUGGUUCUGGAAUCCACGGCAUUGAUUUGUCUGGGUACCUCUGCCUUGAGUUCUUUCCCAGGAUAUAAUAAAGCAGUUGGCUUGGGCUGCAGUCUCAUCAGAAGACUUGACUGAAAUAGAAUCUGCUUCUGAGUUUCUCAUGUAGUUAUUGGCAGGAUACAGUCCCUAACGGACUGUUGGCCAGAGGUCCCCCCUUGCUUCCUUGCCAGGUGGGCAGUUCACAACUUGGUAACUAGAUUACAUCACAGUUGGUCAGCAAGAGGAAGAAAAAAGAACUUGCAAGAUGGAAGCCACAGACUUUUUGUAACCUAAUUUCAGAAGUGACGCCCAUCACUCAUGCUGCAUUAUAUUGAUUAGAAGUGAGUUCCUAGGUGCAGUUCACACACAAGGGGAGGGGAUUUCACAAAGGUGUGAAUACUGGAAUGGCAAGAAUGACUGGAGCCAUCUUAAAGGCUGCCUACAAAACCUAUCCACCCAAAAUAUUAUACAACUUAGAAGAAACAAGUUUUCAAUUUGUCCAAGUUUUUGAUAAAAACAUCCAAGAAGGGGUGUUCAUGACUGACUUUUGUGGCAUGCUUUUUUUCCCCCAAGAUUGAUUCCAGUCCAUUAAUACUAUGAAUAUUGCUGAUUGCCUAACUGCAAAUUCUCAGUGGUGCUAUCAUAAACAUUUUGUCAUCAUAUCCUUGGAAAUCUUAAGAGACAUUUUUGUCAAAUUCAUUUUAACAAUCAUGCUGUUUCUGCUUCACUGGACAGGUGAAAUUAAGUUAAACUGAGUCUCAAGGACUGUCUUGAAGAAUAAAAUAAGUCAUAGCAGUACUAUAGCUCAAAUAAUGUCAUAAAUAGAGAGAACCAGUUUUAUCUGCCUUGUCUCCAUGACAGGAAGUUUUAAGACUGUUUGCAUCCUAUAUGAGCCUCAAUUUUUUUAACCAACUGGUAAAGCUGCCUUUUCCUCCACUUCCAUAUAUGCUUUUAUAGAAAGAUGUAUAUUUUCUUAAGAGAUCAAAUCAGGGAUGAAUUGGACUUUACAAAUAUUGUAACAGUAAAUCGCAAUCAUAAUUUGAUUCAAGGAUCUUUCAAAAUUAGAGAAUACCAGUUAUUGAUAGCUGCUAUCUAGAUAGCAACAAUAUACCAUUACAAUGUUUCUACUACUUCAAAAAAAAAAGUAUAAUGCUCUAACCCAAACUGCCAACAAAAGUACUGUCAUUUUAAAUGCUGUGUCACUCAAACUUCAAUCUAACAACCUACGUUUUGCAACUCUUUCCCCCUUAAGCAAUAUAAUUAUUACUACCCAUUGGGUGUAUAAUAUGAGUGACAUGCUGCACUAAACAACUGUAUUACGAUCUUCUCGUUAAUUCUUCUUAACAACUCUGGCAGGUAGGUACUAUUAUUAUGUGCAUUUUACAGAGAUUAAGCAACUUGCCUGUGGUCAUCCAGCUAGUAAAUGAUGAAGCAAAAGUUUGAAGCCUAGUAGCCUAAAUUGAGCCCUUUCUUUUCAAGCAGAGACACAAAUGUAAUAUUUGUUUAUUUAAGAACUGCUAAGGAAACUUUUCCUAGGAAACAUGGUUGAAUGAUUCACAUAAAGUAUAGUUAAUUUUUUUUCAGUUUGAAGCCACUAGAUGGCAAUAUUUGCAAAUUUUGUUUUUCUUUUUACUUAAGGUGGAAAAGUAACUCCACAGUAUUAGUGACUAGUUUUCUGUGAAGAAAUUAUUUAUCUUUGAUUUGCCAAAUAUAACUGUUAUUUGUAGGAAGAUUUUUCAGUGACAUGAUGUAAUGUGACCAUAGCAGUUUCAAGUGGGACAAAAAUUGGAGUGUUAUCUGCUAUUUCAUUUAAUUUUUGUUUUACUUUAGUUUGAGGUUGAAGGGAAGUUCCUAGAAACUUAAAAUUUCUUCCUGGAGGUCCUCCCUCAUGCUACAACACUGCCAUGAAGUCCUGUUUGUUUAAUAUCAAACAUGACAAACACUUACUUUUCAGAAAAAUAGUGUGCUAUAACAAGCUUUAGUGACUUUAAAAACAUAAUUUGUAUUGCCUGGAAUGUACCCCUCCUCUUUUACAUCAUACAUUCCUGUGUAUCUUUUAAAUCCUAACUUACAUAUGUAUCUUUUUCCUCUGUGAUGUCCCUUCCACAAGCACAGGCAGAUUCUUCUAACAGUACCACCUCAGUCCCAUACCAUUUGAGGCUUUGAUACAUUAUACAUGUCCUAAUGAUAUACAUUUGUGUUUAUCUUCACUCUCCUUUGGGAGCACUUCAAAGGCAGUCUUUUAAAAAUUCAUAUAUGGAGCCGGCCGCGGUGGCUCAUGCCUGUAAUCCUAGCACUUUGGGAGGCCGAGGCGGGCGGAUCACGAGGUCAGGAGAUCGAGACCAUCCUAGCUAACACGGUGAAACCCCGUCUCUACUAAAAAUAAAUUCAAAAAAAAUUAACCGGGUGUGGUGGAGGGCGCCUGUAGUCCCAGCUACUCAGGAGGCUGAGGCAGGGGGAUGGCAUGGACCCAGGAGGUGGAGCUUGCAGUGAGCUGAGAUUGCACCACUGCACUCCAGCCUGGGCAACAGAGCGAGACUUCGCCUCAGAAAAAAAAAAAAAAUCAUAUAUAAAACUCUCAGUUUCUCAAUACCUAAAUAAAAAAAAUCAUAUUAGCAUAUCACAAGCUAUUUAUCUAAUCCUCUACCGAUGACAUUUGAUUUCUUUUCACAUGUUUGCUUUUACAUACAAUGCUUCAAAAAAGUCUUUGUUUUUGUCUUGCACGUGUGUGAGAAUUGCAUUAGAAAUUCUAGAGAUCAAAUUUAUGCAUAAUAGGGUACAUAUGGUGCACACAAUUUUAAUCACACUUGACAUUUGUCAUUCAUUUUGGCUGCUCGUCAACUAAUAUGCCUAUGUUUUGGGAACUUUCCAUUUUAUGAGUAUGGUGGGAGGCCGACCCUGUUUUCCACUAUAAACACUGAAAAUGCCAAAUACUUGCUUCGUGAGCUUCCUUUGCACCUAGGAUGUGGGCACAUGGUCUUGUUUCUCUGCUUGAAAUUGAGAGCCAAUGCAUCAGAAGAGAGGACUCUGCACAGCUGUGUUGAUUGUUGCAGCAGGACUAAACUUUGUAUCAGUAAUGGAAGCUAUGCUAUUAGUGGCAUUUAGUACACAGAGCCAGUUCUGUGUGCAGUGCAGGUUGCAACAACUUUUGUUUGGUGAAGGCCACAGUGGGGUUCUCAUUAGAUCAUUUCUAUGGUGUGAUUUUGAGCAUAGUUUUUGGUGCAAAGCCCUGUCCCUAAUUGUCUAGGAUUCCUAAUGAUUCUAUGAACUACCCCCAAAUCCUUGUAAUAAUGUCCUAUUCUGCUUCAUCAGUUGAACUUGGUUAUUUUUUGUUUCUAGCUAAAAAUCCUGACUCUUAUAAAUUGGUAUCAGGAAUGGGCUGGAGGUGUUGUUUCUAAAGACGCUGAACAGCUAAAUAAAAAAGGAAUGACAUUCUCAAAAUUCUAAUUUAGGGCAUAGAUUGAAAACCAGCUAAAAGAAUAUCUCCUUUCUUGCAGCCACAGGGUUGAGAUAGUCAAAGAUCAAAUUCAAAGUUUAAUUAUAUAGGUUUCCAAAUUCCAAACUCAGCUGAAUUCACAGUCUUGUGUAGUAUGUGAAAGUAAGAGUUUGAUAAUGAAAGAGUAGUGUCCCCCCAAACUAAAAUGGGAUACAUGAAAGGAUUUAAUUUGAUUGACUCAGAAAAUACUGAUUCCUCUUCAUAGAGACUCCCUUGCCUCCAGGAGCGCUUACCUUCAUUUGACUCAUGAGAUUGUUCUUACCUUGCUUUACAACCCUGUCACAACUUUACGUAAGGAAGUCAUAUUGCAGGAGGAAGCCAGUCCUCUUCUUGCUCUACUCUUAACACUUAUUAUGUCUAGACCAAUAAUGAAAACCAGAUCCUCAGCUUGAACUUGUAUUAGGGGAGUGAUAUUAUAGCAUAACCCCCAGGAUGAUAAAGCUUGUACUUUAAAAUAGUUUAAGAAAAAUAUUAUUUUAGUUCAGUGAUGAAAAGAAGAUUUGGUUAAUGUAUACAUAUAAAUAAGGGAGGAAUGUAUUUUAAGACGUAACUGAAGUUACCAGUAUGGGUAACCUUGUCAGAAAUUAGUCUUUUAAUAUCCUAGCUUAAACAUAUGGGAGUAGUUUUAAUUGUUUUCUUGUUUGGUUGACUGAAAUCCAGACCAUAGCUCAUAUGAACAGAAAUGGACCUGCUCUAGAGAAGAAAAGAUAUUAAUACAAGAGUUAAAAGACUUGGGUAGAAAUCUUAAGGUAGAAGUAGUGGAUUAAUUUGUUGUUUGCAUUCUGCUCUCCUCACUCCUAAUAAAAUCCCUCAAGAGGGUUCAAGAGAUAACCUCUUCACCAAAUCUGUUAGAAAUAGAUUAGACAGUAGUCUGGGUGCAGUGGCCCACUUCUGUAAUCCCAGCACUUUAGGAGGCCAAAGCAGCAGGAUCACUUGAGGCCAAGAGCUUGAGGUCAGUUUGGACAAUAUAGUAAAACCUUGUUUCUGUUUUAAAAAACAAACAAACAAUUUGAGAGUCUUUCUGAGCUACCUGUGGCUCAGGUAGCUGCCCAAUAAGCAACAACAAGAAAUACAUUACAUGGGCAUUGUGGCUCAUACCUAUAAUCCCAGCACUUUGGGAGGCCGAAGCAGGAGGAUUGCUUGAGGCCAGGAGUUUGAGACCAGCCUAGGCAACAUAGCAAGUCCCCCAUCUCUAUGAAAAAUAUAAAAUUAGCUGGGCAUGGUGGCUUGUACCUGUGGUCUCAGCUACUUGAGAAGCUGAGGCAGGAGGAUCACUUGAGCCCAGGAGGUUGAGGUUGCAGUGAGCCAAGAUUGUGACAUUGCCUUCCAGCUUAGGCAACAAAACAAGACACUGUCUCAAAAAAAAGAAAAAAAAAGAAAAAAGAAAAAAAAAAGAAAGAAAAAGUAGAAAACAAAUGAAUUAGGAAUGCCUCUUGAGGGCACCCUUAAUUUCAGUGAGAAUGUGAAGAUCCUAGGUUGACAGAAAUUAGAGUACUUAAUUACUAAGGCAAAUUGGCGUGAUUACCAUAAUUAUAGACCAUAAAUUCCUGACCAUUAGUCUGGAUAACUACUUGAUCUGAGCUGAUCAUGAUGAACCACAUGUUAUCCAUUAAAGUACCAAGUUAGUCAUGCCUAGUAGCAGUCCACUAUAAAAAGGAAGUAAUAUAUGUGGAACUGAGCCGGAGAAUAUCUAGAGGCACAAGAAGGAUACAUGUGUUUAUGAUUCAUAUUCUGAGUGUGCUACUUCUGCUUCGUUGUCAUUUUUCUCUCAACUUCAUUUAUGACCUCAUGGCAAGUUACCUAUGACCUAAAUCUCUGACCUUGGUUAACAGAUGAGUCAACAUAAUUUGCUGGCACUAGGUGAAAGUAGACUACCACCUCCCUACAAAUCUAAUCAGGGUUAGCUCUUAAGGACCAUGAAAAAUGAAUUCCUCUUGAUAGGUAGAAUUUUGAGUAUCCCAGGUAAUUUUCCAGUUAUGAAAACCAUAGCCUGAAUCAAGAAUCUAUGCCCAUUUAUGGUGACUGGCUAGUGGAACUAGAAGGAGGAAGAUUAGAGUCUUAGAAACAAGGAGUUUGAAAAGUAAAAUACAAGGAUAGAUGUCUUCCUAUGGAUCCAGAAUAUGAGAAUAUUGUCCCAAAUGAAAGCGUGUCAAAAAGUCUUUACCAUGGAAGAAGCUCUUAAUAAUCAAAGAGGCUGGCAGUUAGCCUCUAUCUAUGACCAUACCAUUGCUUUCUUAAUAGGCUCAUUAAAAAAUACCAAUCUUGCAGGGAUGGAGGCCAUGCAUGGACUCAACAACAUCAAUUUUUACUCCUGAAGGCUUGCCAACAGCAGGAACUUAUCCUCAAUCUUUUAUGUGACAUCUCCAUUCGUUUUCUAUUGCUGCAUAAAAAUUAUCACAAAAUUAGCCAUUGGUAACAAAACGCAUUUAUUACUUCACAGUUUCCACGUAUCACAAGUCUGGACAUGGCUUAGCUGAGUUCUUUGCACAGGUUCUCGGAAGACUGUAAUCAAGGUGCUGGCCAUACUGGCAUUCUUGUCUGGAGGCUUCAUUAGGGGAGAGUCCAAUUCUAAGUUAAUUCAUAGUUUUUGGCUAUAUGAUUGAAGGCCCUGACUUUUUGCUAGCUUUUGUCUGGAGGCUGCCCACAGCCCCUUGACACAUAGUCUUUUAGUACAUGGCCACUUACUUCAUCAAACAUACAAGCCAAGCUGGCUUUAUGGGCACACAUCCUAUGCUGUCACAUAUCCCUGUGCUUAGAAGGCCCCACACUUGGUUUAAGGCUCUUUUGUAGCUGUUUUGAAAUUCUUAGUAAUUUUUGAAAAAAGGAGCCCCAGGUUUUGCUUUUGCAGUGGGCCCCACAAAUUAUGUAGCUAGUGCAAUCUGCAAGGAGAGUUUCUAGCUCCAGUCUGCUAAGAUGGAGACUUUGGUAACAUAAUCUAAUCACAAGAAUUACAUCCAUCAUCUUUGCCAUAUAAUGUAAUCAUAAGAGUGAUAUCACCUUUGCUACUGUCUACUGGUUAGAAGCACGUCAUAGGUCCCUACCAUACUCAAGGGAAGGGGACUAUAGGAGGACGUAAAUACGAGGAGGUGAGAAUUGCAAGGGCCACUCGUAGGUCUUUCUGCCACAGUACCAUAAACUGGACUAGGGCAAGUAGAGAGCAGGUACCUAGAAAGGAUUUCAGCUGGAUUUCUCUGCCUGCCAUGCUUUUGUUUGCAGCACUAUUUCUUGGAAUUUUUGAGUGUCUUAUUCACAGUCAUUGCAUCCCACACAGCAUUGUCUCCAAGGAAUUAUUUUACAGUUUACAAUUUAUCCCUUACCACCUGCUUUAUAGAUUGUCGAAAUGUCGUACUGAAGACUAGCACCUAUAGUGCCAGGCAGGAAAGCAAUUUCUUGGGAGGUCAGGAUGUUGUCUUGCAUAAAGUAUUAUAUGCUCUGAACUGGUAAUCAGUACAUGGGCUGUUUUCCUCAUAAACAGAAUGUGUAGAUUUGGGAAGCAAUGACUAUAAGUGGUGGCUCAUAAAAUUACACCAAAUGCCUACUUAUACAUUUUUUUGCAUCAUGUCUUCAGAACAUGAGUUUUUACUGGUUCAGAGAUCUUAAUGUCUAAGAGAUAUUACUUAAUAUCUAAAAGAGAUUUCCUGUAACCACCAAGAGACACAAGCAAAGUUCAACUGUAUCGACAGUGGCCACUGCCAACUGGCUGUUUUGAAUAAUUGAUGCCACUGGACAAACCAGACCAAAAGGGAAUUCAGGUGUUGGCAGAGGUGAUUGAUUCUAUUCAUGAAGAGCAAUAGGUGUAUUGCUACACAGUGAGGGCAAAGAAAAAUAUGGAUAAAAUCCUUCAUUAUUUAUAGUAUUUAUAAUUCUUAUUUAUUUUCCUUUUCAGAUUUUAUUAUCUGAGAGCACUAGUACAUUACUGAAAAGCGAUGUCUAUAAUGGACAUCUGUGUAUUAUGACUCUAAAGAGAGUAUUUCUAGCAUUUUAUCAUUACAUAAGAUGUUUGUGAGGUUUAAAAAGAUGACAGUUAAGUCCAUUUCCUUCUUUUUCUUUCUUUUUUUUUAAAAAGAAAAAAACUUCAACUUUUGUCUCAGGAUCUAUACGCCCAUUUUCUUCUAUUCUUGGUAUGCUUUACAAAAAAAAAACUCAUGAAUGUAUGUUGCAUUUUUUUCUUAUGCAUUUUUCAUUAACUAAACUAAUUAUGUUGCUCAUUUAAUUUAUAAAUGUGGUGAAUCACAUCAAUUGGUUUUCUGUGUUUCAGACAUUUUGGAGUUUCUGAAAUAAAACCCACUUGAUCCCUUCUAUGUUCAUCUCCUGCGCUGGAUUUGAUUCAUUAAUAUUUUAUUUCAGUUUUUAAAUCUGUAUCUAUAAAUGACAUUCACACACCAUUUUUCAUUCUUGUAUUAUCCUUUUAUUAUCCUUAUCUUGUAUUAUCCUUGGUUUCAAUUUUAAGGUAAAUUGGGUAGUAUGUUAGUCAGGGUUCAGUUUAAGAUAACAGAUUCCAUCCUGAAAAAAAAAGGAUUUAUCCUGUGAGGUGCUAAAUGGAUUACUUACAGACAUGUUUUGAGAACUGAAGAAAGAGACUUAUUUGCAUUUCCAGGAACUGUGACUAAAUCCGUAUAGCAGAACUGAGCCCCCAGGGAAGAUACUGCCAGUGUUAUAAUCAAGAAUUUGAAACAUUAUGAAGAUGCCAUAUCUUCCACGAUCAGGAAGCCACUGAAUCAGGAACUUAUGCUGUCUCCAAAUCAGGAUACAGAAGCUGCUCUAGUUGGCAGCUCCAGAAUCACAUCACUUCUGCUAAUCAGGAAGGUAUCUGCAGUCAGGACCCCAAUGCCCAGCUGUGUCACCAGCCCCCACAGCAAAAUGGAUGCCCUGCGUCCUAAACCUCUUCCCAUUUGAUUCACUUCCAAAUUAAAGUUUCAAAUGGGUAAAGUUUGAUAGCAGAGCUCAAAUCACAUUUGGUAUCUGAGCAAAAGAGAUUCUGGGAAAUACAAUGUUUUAUAUGGCUUCUGCCUGCUCUGCGGAGCUGGAAUAGGUGUUGUAUGAGCCAAUUAGCAUUGAUGCCCAUAGGGGUCUCCCUCAUUUCUUUCUCUCUUUCUUU
rnacentral:lncRNA from 1 species